rfam:Trichoderma harzianum strain T6776 Scaffolds1001.1, whole genome shotgun sequence.
GACACUUUGGCCGAGUGGUUAAGGCGAUGCCCUGCUAUCAACAGGUAUCAUAGGCAUUGUGUUCGCACGCGCAGGUUCGAAUCCUGCAGGUGUCG